UUUAAAAAAGAGAAACAGGGCGGCCCAGGGUGGGCCUUUGUGAUUUUCGGUUCGGGCCGGUUCCUAGAGUAUAAGAACCGCGGGUACCCGGACUGGCCCGUUUGUAAUUAAAAUGAACGGACCAGAUUGAUGAUUAAGCUACAUAUGUAAUCUGAACCGUUGUUUUAGUUUUACCCUACGUUCUCUCUAUCUCUCUUCCCGACUUUCGCUCUCACAGUCUCACUGUCUCUCUCAAUCUCAAACUCUCGGACGGUUACCUCAGUCCCUCGACAGUUACCUUCUGCGACUCUAAUCGUCCUUCCCUCGACUCCAAUCCCCUUACCAACCGUCGAUUCUCCUCGGCGAAUACAACGGCACCACCCAUCAUCCUUCUUGAUAACAUCCCAGAGAACCCAGGCCAUCACCCUUGCCAUCGAUUCUCUCAUUUUCGACAGCAACCCCCGCCGUCGUGACCACCAUCACCCCAUCACCGUCGUCGAUGACACUGGUACCAGCCAUCAUCCUUCUAAAAUUUAGGUGGUUUUUAACAAGAAGAAUGAGUUCCAAACUUCCAGUGGCAGAGGUUCUCUCUUUUCUUAAAAGUAGGUGCAACUAGGACAAAAUUGAAAAGAAGCAAAGCAUCAAACUUAUUAGUAAUCAUUCUUACAGCAUGUACAUAAUCAAAUAUUUCUGCUACUGUAAACUCUGUUAUACCAUUCAUAGUGUACGUUUUCCCACUGCUUGUUUGACCAUAUGCAGUUUUUUCAUCUUCAUUCCGC